UACGUAGGGUGCGAGCGUUAAUCGGAAUUACUGGGCGUAAAGCGUGCGCAGGCGGUUUGUUAAGACCGAUGUGAAAAUCCCCGGGCUCAACCUGGGAACUGCAUUGGUGACUGGCAAGCUAGAGUAUGGCAGAGGGGGGGUAGAAUUCCACGUGUAGCAGUGAAAUGCGUAGAGAUGUGGAGGAAUACCGAUGGCGAAGGCAGCCCCCUGGGCCAAUACUGACGCUCAUGCACGAAAGGCGUGGG
rnacentral:rRNA from 1 species